CCUACGGGAGGCAGCAGUGAGGAAUAUUGGUCAAUGGACGGAAGUCUGAACCAGCCAUGCCGCGUGCAGGAAGACGGCUCUAUGAGUUGUAAACUGCUUUUGUACAAGGGUAAACCUGAAUACGUGUAUUCAGCUGAAAGUACUGUACGAAUAAGGAUCGGCUAACUCCGUGCCAGCAGCCGCGGUAAUACGGAAGAUGCGAGCGUUAUCCGGAUUUAUUGGGUUUAAAGGGAGCGUAGGCGGUUCCAUAAGUCAGCGGUAAAAUCGUGCGGCUCAACCGUACCGUGCCGUUGAAACUGUGGGACUUGAGUAUGCGCAGGGUACAUGGAAUUCGUGGUGUAGCGGUGAAAUGCUUAGAUAUCACGAAGAACUCCGAUCGCGAAGGCAUUGUACCGGAGCAAGACUGACGCUGAGGCUCGAAAGUGCGGGUAUCAAACAGGAUUAGAUACCCGUGUAGUC
rnacentral:rRNA from 1 species